rnacentral:rRNA from 1 species
UACGUAGGGACCAAGCGUUGUACGGAUUUACUGGGCGUAAAGGGCGCGUAGGCGGCGCGGUAAGUCACUUGUGAAAUCUCUGAGCUUAACUCAGAACGGCCAAGUGAUACUGCAGUGCUAGAGUGUGGAAGGGGCAAUCGGAAUUCUUGGUGUAGCGGUGAAAUGCGUAGAUAUCAAGAGGAACACCUGAGGUGAAGACGGGUUGCUGGGCCAACACUAACGCUGAUGCGCGAAAGCCAGGGGAGCAAACGGG